rnacentral:rRNA from 1 species
CUGCUGCCUUCCGUAGGAGUCUGGGCCGUAUCUCAGUCCCAAUGUGGCCGUUCAACCUCUCAGUCCGGCUACUGAUCGUCGCCUUGGUAGGCCAUUACCCCACCAACUAGCUAAUCAGACGCAAGCCCAUCUACCAGUGGAUUGCUCCUUUCCUAACUGUAUCAUGCGAUACUGUUAGCAUAUGCGGUAUUAGCAAUGAUUUCUCACUGUUAUUCCCCUCUGAUAGGCAGGUUG